AUGUCUACUACAACUUGUUGUGGCCUAUGUGGUGCUGAGGACUCGUGGCAACAUUCGUUGCUUCAUUGUACUGUCGCCAGGUGUGUUUGGGCACUUCAUGAUCCGGAUUUUGUGGAAGCUUUGAACACAACGACGGAACCAGAUGCAAAACGUUGGAUUUUUAGGGUCCAAGACAUGCUCUCUCCACAAGAAUUCAUCUUUGUAAUCACUACCUUAUGGGCACUGUGGUAUGCGAGACAGAAAUCUACGGGGAGAUCGCCAUCAAUAGCGCCAGUACAGCCAAGAUGGAUCCCUCCGCCUGAAGGGAUAGAAAAAAUACGAGUCGAUGGGGCUGUUUCCAGAGAUGCUAAUUUUGGUUCCUUCAGUGCUGUCUGCAGAAACUCUUCAGGUACAUACUUGGGCGCUUCGGUUAUCAAGAUCUAUGGAGUUUCGGAUCCGGCGACGCUGGAAGCUUUGGCGUUUCGCGAGGCAUUAGCCCUCGCUACUGACCUGGACCUUGCUCGUAUUCUCGUAGCAAGCGACUGCCAAGGUGUAGUCAAUGACAUCAAGAAUCGCACUGGGGUAACUACGCCAGCACACCAGGGAGAUCGUUGA
rnacentral:rRNA from 1 species